AACGGACGCUGGCGGCAUGCCUAACACAUGCAAGUCGAACGAGACCUUCGGGUCUAGUGGCGCACGGGUGCGUAACGCGUGGGAACCUGCCCUUAGGUUCGGAAUAACUCCCCGAAAGGGGUGCUAAUACCGGAUAAUGUCUUCGGACCAAAGAUUUAUCGCCUUUGGAUGGGCCCGCGUUGGAUUAGCUAGUUGGUAGGGUAAAAGCCUACCAAGGCGACGAUCCGUAGCUGGUCUGAGAGGAUGAUCAGCCACACUGGGACUGAGACACGGCCCAGACUCCUACGGGAGGCAGCAGUGGGGAAUAUUGGACAAUGGGCGAAAGCCUGAUCCAGCAAUGCCGCGUGAGUGAUGAAGGCCUUAGGGUUGUAAAGCUCUUUUACCCGGGAUGAUAAUGACAGUACCGGGAGAAUAAGCUCCGGCUAACUCCGUG
rnacentral:rRNA from 1 species